rnacentral:ncRNA from 1 species
GGCGCUUGAGGUGGUAAAUUUCGUAGCGACCACACGCCUUAAUGGUAAAAAAGAGACGCAGGAGGAUGCUACGCCUGCCAAGCGCC